rnacentral:rRNA from 1 species
GAUGAACGCUGGCGGCGUGCCUAAUACAUGCAAGUCGAGCGAACAGACGAGGAGCUUGCUCCUCUGACGUUAGCGGCGGACGGGUGAGUAACACGUGGAUAACCUACCUAUAAGACUGGGAUAACUUCGGGAAACCGGAGCUAAUACCGGAUAAUAUGUUGAACCGCAUGGUUCAAUAGUGAAAGACGGUUUUGCUGUCACUUAUAGAUGGAUCCGCGCCGCAUUAGCUAGUUGGUAAGGUAACGGCUUACCAAGGCAACGAUGCGUAGCCGACCUGAGAGGGUGAUCGGCCACACUGGAACUGAGACACGGUCCAGACCCCUACGGGAGGCAGCAGUAGGGAAUCUUCCGCAAUGGGCGAAAGCCUGACGGAGCAACGCCGCGUGGGUGAUGAAGGUCUUCGGAUCGUAAAACUCUGUUAUUAGGGAAGAACAAAUGUGUAAGUAACUAUGCACGUCUGGACGGUACCUAAUCAGAAAGCCACGGCUAACUACGU